CAGGAUGUAGCUUAUAGUCAAGCAUCUCCCUUACACCGAGAAGAUAUUUAUGCAAGUUAAAUCAUCCUGA
rnacentral:tRNA from 1 species